rnacentral:rRNA from 1 species
AUACGGGCAGACUAGAGUGCUGCAGGGGAGACUGGAAUUCCUGGUGUAGCGGUGGAAUGCGCAGAUAUCAGGAGGAACACCGGUGGCGAAGGCGGGUCUCUGGGCAGCUACUGACGCUGAGGAGCGAAAGCGUGGGGAGCGAACAGGAUUAGAUACCCUGGUAGUCCACGCCGUAAACGGUGGGUACUAGGUGUGGGUUCUUUCCUAAGGAUCCGUGCCGUAGCUAACGCAUUAAGUACCCCGCCUGGGGAGUACGGCCGCAAGGCUAAAACUCAAUGGAAUUGACGGGGGCCCGCACAAGCGGCGGAGCAUGUGGAUUAAUUCGAUGCAACGCGAAGAACCUUACCUGGGUUUGACAUGCACAGGACGCGUCUAGAGAUAGGCGUUCCCUUUGGGCCUGUGUGCAGGUGGUGCAUGGCUGUCGUCAGCUCGUGUCGUGAGAUGUUGGGUUAAGUCCCGCAACGAGCGCAACCCUUGUCCCAUGUUGCCAGCGGGUGAUGCCGGGGACUCAUGGGAGACUGCCGGGGUCAACUCGGAGGAAGGUGGGGAUGACGUCAAGUCAUCAUGCCCCUUAUGUCCGGGGCUUCACACAUGCUACAAUGGCCGGUACAAAGGGCUGCGAAGCCGUGAGGUGGAGCGAAUCCCUGCAAAGCCGGUCUCAGUUCGGAUCGGGGUCUGCAACUCGACCCCGUGAAGUCGGAGUCGCUAGUAAUCGCAGAUCAGCAACGCUGCGGUGAAUACGUUCCCGGGCCUUGUACACACCG